rnacentral:rRNA from 1 species
AGAGUUUGAUCCUGGCUCAGAGUGAACGCUGGCGGCAUGCCUAACACAUGCAAGUCGAACGGUAACAGGCCCGCAAGGGUGCUGACGAGUGGCGGACGGGUGAGGAAUACAUCGGAAUCUGCCCGGUUGUGGGGGAUAACGUAGGGAAACUUACGCUAAUACCGCAUACGACCGAAAGGUGAAAGCGUGGGAUCCGCAAGGACCUCGCGCAGCCGGAUGAGCCGAUGUCGGAUUAGCUAGUUGGCGGGGUAAAGGCCCACCAAGGCGACGAUCCGUAGCUGGUCUGAGAGGAUGAUCAGCCACACUGGGACUGAGACACGGCCCAGACUCCUACGGGAGGCAGCAGUGGGGAAUAUUGGACAAUGGGGGCAACCCUGAUCCAGCAAUGCCGCGUGUGUGAAGAAGGCCUUCGGGUUGUAAAGCACUUUUAUCCGGAACGAAACGUGUUGGGUGAAUAGCCCAGCAAACUGACGGUACC